AAGAAGUGAAGAUUUUCAGAACACUGAAGAGAGAAGAAAAUGAAAAAGCUGUCUGGAAUGUGGUUACAGCUAUGAUUAUCAGUACCUCAUACAGACUCUUCAUGCCUCUGUGCAUGAAAGCGUGCACAUGCUAUGGUGAAUGUACAAGGAAUGCUGCUCUCCUACAUUCUUAAUUACUUCAGAUUCAUAGGUGUCUCUGAGGACUGAGGACAGAUGUGGGCUGGGGAUCAUCUGGGGUCCUGCAAGAAAAGUUCAUCUGAUUUCCUCUGGAGUUUCAUGAGUGGUAUAGUGGCAUGAAGGAAACCAACUACCUUCAGAUCUUCAAGAUGAGUAUAACCACUCCUAAGAGGCCUGGAAAGCUGGUCAUAUCCCAAUUUCUCUAG